rnacentral:lncRNA from 1 species
UAAGGCACUGCGGGGAACGGCGUCGGCUCCGGACUGAGAGGCUCGGGGAGGGAGCUGCUUUAGGAGGAGGCUGUGGGAUUUCGGGGGGCCGCUGGACAAAGACCUGACGGAGUGGGAGGGGCCUGCUGGCCGGCCCUCGGGCUCCGGACGCUGGAUCCUUCUGGGACCUGAACCCGCAAACCCCGGCUCCCCACCCCCAGGCCCGCAGACGCC